CAGAAAAUAGUUUAUAAAAAUAUUAGUUUUGGGGACUAAAGAUGGGAGUAGUUUCUUUUCUGA
rnacentral:tRNA from 1 species